rnacentral:rRNA from 1 species
CGGGACACGUGGUAUCCUGUCUGAAUAUGGGGGGACCAUCCUCCAAGGCUAAAUACUCCUGACUGACCGAUAGUGAACCAGUACCGUGAGGGAAAGGCGAAAAGAACCCCGGCGAGGGGAGUGAAAAAGAACCUGAAACCGUGUACGUACAAGCAGUGGGAGCACGCUUAGGCGUGUGACUGCGUACCUUUUGUAUAAUGGGUCAGCGACUUAUAUUCUGUAGCAAGGUUAACCGAAUAGGGGAGCCGAAGGGAAACCGAGUCUUAACUGGGCGUUAAGUUGCAGGGUAUAGACCCGAAACCCGGUGAUCUAGCCAUGGGCAGGUUGAAGGUUGGGUAACACUAACUGGAGGACCGAACCGACUAAUGUUGAAAAAUUAGCGGAUGACUUGUGGCUGGGGGUGAAAGGCCAAUCAAACCGGGAGAUAGCUGGUUCUCCCCGAAAGCUAUUUAGGUAGCGCCUCGUGAAUUCAUCUCCGGGGGUAGAGCACUGUUUCGGCAAGGGGGUCAUCCCGACUUACCAACCCGAUGCAAACUGCGAAUACCGGAGAAUGUUAUCACGGGAGACACACGGCGGGUGCUAACGUCCGUCGUGAAGAGGGAAACAACCCAGACCGCCAGCUAAGGUCCCAAAGUCAUGGUUAAGUGGGAAACGAUGUGGGAAGGCCCAGACAGCCAGGAUGUUGGCUUAGAAGCAGCCAUCAUUUAAAGAAAGCGUAAUAGCUCACUGGUCGAGUCGGCCUGCGCGGAAGAUGUAACGGGGCUAAACCAUGCACCGAAGCUGCGGCAGCGACGCUGAUGCGUUGUUGGGUAGGGGAGCGUUCUGUAAGCCUGUGAAGGUGUGCUGUGAGGCAUGCUGGAGGUAUCAGAA